rnacentral:lncRNA from 1 species
AAACUAAAACAAACUUAGGAGAAAAUGCAACUCCUAUGGGUAAAGACGUGGAAUGUAUUCCCUCGUUAUAAAGGUGAGCGCCUAAUGGUAAAGACACAAAAUGUAUUCCCUUGUUAUACAGGUGGGUGCCUAGAAUAUGAAAUGCACAGACAAAAGUAUUCCUCUCGUUAUACAGGUGGGCGCCUGGUUAAACUAAGACAUAAAAGUAUUCCUCUCGUUAUACAGGUGGGCGCCUGGUUAAACUAAGACAUAAAAGUAUUCCUCUGUUAUUAUGGGCGGGCUCCCAACUUCAACUCUGGAAAUAUAAAGACUGAAUGUAUUCCUCUGUUAUUAUGGGCGGGCUCCCAACUUCAACUCUGGAAAUAUAAAGACUGAAACCAACAUAUCCUAUUUGAGGGCGGAUGAACCCAACAUAUCCUAUUUGAGGGCGGAUGAACCCGACAGAUCCUAUUUGAGGGCGGAUGAACCCAAUAUAUCCUAUUUGAAGGCGGAUGAACCC